UCACUUCGAUCCGGCCACGCGAGGGAGGGAAAUUACCCGUUCCCAACCUCCUCCCACGCCUCCCCCGAGCCGCCGCCAGCCACAUCUCAGGCCGCCGCCGCCAUCCCGUGACCGCUCCCCAAAGAAACAAUGCUCGCGCUCCUACUCUCCCCACCGGUGGCGCCUUUGCCGUGCCUCGCGACGCUAAGGCGGCGGUGACGGCCUCCGUCCCUCGCGCUGCCUCCCACGUCGCGCGCCUCCUCUACCGUCCCCGGCCGUGCGAUGCCCGCCCUCUGCACCGCGGCCGUCCCC
rnacentral:lncRNA from 1 species